CACGUAGGGGGCAAGCGUUGUCCGGAUUUAUUGGGCGUAAAGAGCUCGUAGGUGGCUGAGUAAGUCGGAUGUUAAAUCCCCAGGCUCAACCUGGGACGCCACCCGAUACUGCGGUGACUAGAGUCCGGUAGGGGAGUGCGGAAUUCCUGGUGUAGCGGUGAAAUGCGCAGAUAUCAGGAGGAACACCGGUGGCGAAGGCGGGUCUCUGGGCAGUAACUGACGGUGAGGAGCGAAAGCGUGGGGAGCGAACAGG
rnacentral:rRNA from 1 species